CCGCCUGUACUUCGAGGUCAAAAAUCUACUGGGCGUGCCCGAGCUCCUGGCGCCGGGAGGAGGUCCGGCUUCCCGUCUGCUGCCCCUCGCCUGGGGCAGAGUGGGGCGUGGCUCCGCGCGCCUUGGGUCGCGGGUCGCUAGCAGGGCGACCGCUCCCGGGAGUUGGGUCCAGGGCUCAAGAGCGGGGCGGAAGUGGAGCAGUCCCUCCUUUCUCUCCUAGCUGCAGACACUCCGAGACUGGGUGCCCUUUUCCCCUCUCCAGGCACAGGCCUCCCUGGGCGGACGUGCAGAGUUUGGGAUAUGUGCACUGGGCGUUUCCCUCUCCCCAUUUUGUGCCUCCUGUCUCCGGUGCCAGUCUGCAGUGGUGCAAUUUGCUGGCGGACCGCAGAGCAGACGUCUUCUAGAGAUGUCCGAGUGGUUACUCACUGCAAGAACUGGUCAGAUACUUCUGAGAGCUGAGCACGGAACACGUUCCUCACAUGGACAGAAAUAACUGAAUGUAAGAUCAUUCCGCACAACUUCCCAUCCAUGUUGGAAUCCCUUCUGCAGAACCCCAGCUCCUAGUUGAAAACUUCUGGCAUCAAAAUGUCUUUUCUUCACAAGCAACCCAUUCUACUUUCUGUCACCUCUCAAGAACUUCAAGUCAGGAGGAGUCAUCUCCAAGCAUCCACACCUGAGGGGCUUCCUCUUCUCCAGACCUGAUGGAGAUGCUGAAGUUCUGGAUCUGAAGCAGAGAGAGUGUGCAAGCCAGGGAGAGGGGCAAAGGGAGUGAGAGAGAGACUCCUAAGCAGGUUCCACAUUCAGCGCAGAACCCAACACAGGGCUCAAUCCCAUGAUCCCGGGAUCAUGACCUGAACCAAAAUGGAGAGUUGGACACUCAACUGACUGAGCCACCCAGGCACCCCUAAUUAAGGGUCACCUCAUCCCUAAAGCUGAUUCGGCUGCUCUGGACCUUCUCUGUGGUUCCUGUGGACAUGAUAACUUGUGCUACUCAGAUCAAACAUCUGUCCUGUGCCAACCACCCCAGAAGUUAAUCUCCCUGAAGGGUGAAAACGGGCGCCACCUCUUACAUGAAGAAGGUACUAGAUAAAUAUUCACUUUUCUUCAGAACAAUUCAUCUUGGGCAGCCUCAAGAUAGGGGUUCUAGGAGUGUCCUUGGGUUGAUUAUUGGUGGAUUUCCAAAAACAGAGUUGGGAAUAUGCUCACAGUGAUCUAGAAAGUUGACAGAGUGUGAGUUCACUUGAACUUCUGUGGCCAUUUGAUAACCAGGGAUCCUAUCUGACUUGUCCACCACUGUGUCCCCAACUCACAGCAUAGCACCUGGGACUCAGAGGCACUGAGCAAGUGCUUGUGGGAAAUGAUGCAAGAAGGUACUUCUGAACAACUCGCAAUUGGAUCCAAUAUGCGUGAUUCCUAUCCUCCCCAGGACUUGUCCUGCAGCCUGGAGAAAGCUCUCUCAUCUCAGUCCUUACGGAGGAAUUCAGGAAACAAACCCUCCAGGACAAACCCUUUAGGAGACACCACCCAAGGCCUCUCUCUCCCAGCGGUUGUCCAGAGUCAGGGUUCCAGGGUUGACACUGCAAUGUCACCAAGAACACCAGUGCCCUCCCAUGCUUCUGCUCUCCCAUUCUUAGCAUUUCCAAGCUCUUGCUCUAGCAACUAGAGAGAGAGUCUAGGAAGUCACACAAGUGGUGUGCUCAGUGGCAGUGGAAAGCAAAGAAGUGGGACACACGACUUUUGGGCAGACCGUGAAUAGCACAUGCUACCAACUUGUUUGAAGAUAAGGGAAUAGGACUUGAAGAGAUGAAGUCCCUUGCCCAGUGCUCUGUAGUAGGUAAGUAGCAGAGAUGGGGUGUCUGAUUUUAAAGCCUUGUUACUACCACAUAAUCACUUGUCAUGGUGCAAGACAAAAGUGUGUGCUAUAGAGUGUGUGUGGGGCUGUGUAGGUUGUUCAGACACUAGGAACCUCUAUCGUAGGCACCAAUGAGUAGGGCAUUUCAGACACAGGCCCUCUGGACAUGUAACUCCUUCUCUUUGAGAAUGGAUCUUACUGGGUGGAGAAGGAAACAGUGGGAUGGUAAGGAGGGGCUGUAUGCCUUUACCUUUUUUGAACUUCUAUUUUGUUUGUUUAUUUUUAUUUUAGACAGAGAGAGAGCACAUGAGCGGGAGAAAGGGGCAGAAGGGGAGAGAGAGAGAAUCUUAAGCAGGUCCAUGUUCUGCACAGAGCCUGACACAGAGCUUGAUCCCAUGACCCUGGGAUCAUGACCUGAGCCCAAAUCAAGAGUCAGACGUUCAACUGACUGAGCCACCCGGGCGCCCCUAAACUUUUAUUUUUAGGUAUAAUAUACAUUCAGAAUAGUGCACAAAUUACAAGAGUAUAACUUGGUUAGUUUUCAUAAAGGGAACACACCUGUGUUCAGCACCCAGACUAAGAAGCAGAGCAUUACCAGUAUUUCAAAAGGCCUCUUUUUGUCCUUUCCAGUCUUUAUAUCCCCCUGCUGAGGAUUAACAUUAUCUGUAUCAAAGCAAUUUUGACUGUUUUGGUACCUCUCAUAAAUGAAACCAUACAGUACAUAUUCUUAUGUGUGAAUUCUUUGUUCAAAAUUAUGUUUGAGAUUCAUCCAUAUUGUUAUAUGAGUUGCGGUUCAUUCUCAUUGCUGUAUAAUAUUCCAUUUUGUGAAUAUAUGGCGAUAUAUUUCUCCAUUUUUACUGUUCAUGGGUAUUUUGGGUAACUUUUAGUUUUUAGCUGUCACAAAUAGUGCUACUCUGAGCAUUUUGAAUAUGUAGCCAAUUCUGUUGGAAAUACAUCUGGGAAGGUAUAUAUUUAAUUAUAGCAGACACUGCUAAAGAGUAUACAAAGUGGUUGUACCAAUUCACAUUCCCACCAUUAUAUGAAUUCCAGUUGCUCCAUAUUCUCGCCAACAUUUGAUAUUAUCAGUGCUUAUAAUUUAAGCUCUUCUGUCUGGUGGGUGUGUAAUGACGUCUCAUUAUGGCUUGGUAUGCAUUUGCAUUUCCUGCUUGAUUGAUAACAUUGAGCGCCGUUUUGUAUGAUUAUUGGUCACUUACGUGGCUUUAUCUUUAAACUUGGAGUGAGGAGGGAGAAAAAUGGGGAGAGACCUCCUGAGUAUGAAGGGGUGUGAGUGCUGGGUGUGGGGACGCUUGAGUGGCAUAUCUCUGUUGCUUGCAGACCGAGUAGAAGGGGAAGCCUGGGAAUGAGGGCUGUUGUAUCCAUGGAGUCACACUCACAGGAGAGGCAGUGAGAUGCUGAUAUGGGGAAAGGCUAGCUUUGGCUCAGGCAUUUACUAGCUGCCAUAUUUCAGGCAAUUUCCACCUCUGUCAAGGGGAAAGAAGAAUAACACCAACUGGAUAGUGUUGCUGUAAGAUUUAACUGAGAUGAAAUGUGGACAGUAUCUGGCACAGAGAUAUGCAGAGAUAAAUUGUCUACAGUGCCUGGCCUAAUAAAUGACAGCCAUUAUUCCUCUGGAAUGACUGGGGAGUGAGGACCAGAACAAGUGCGCUAUCAGUUGUGGGAACAACAGCAGAAUACCUUGUGACUUGUACGAGCCUUCCUCUGUGGCUUAGAAUCUUGCGUCUCAUACACCAACCCUCGCCUUAAGAAAUCAGCCAGUCUAAUUGUUUGUCCUGUUCAGAUCUCCUGCCCUAAGAACUUCUGAGUCCCACCUGGGGCAAUAAAAUAAAAUGCACUCAUUUUUCUUAACAAGAUGUUAUGUAAAAGAAUUGUCAGUUUCGUGUUCUUCCUUGCUUUGCUAAGUCAAUAAAAGUCAGUUUCACUUUUUAUCAUAAGGGCUUUCUCUAACUGAGCGGUGGCUUUUCCCCAGUUUAGAUGUUAUUCAUCUAAUCUCACAUUGUCUUGUCCUGUAUUGCCAUGAAAUUUAUUUGUCCACAAGGGGUAAAAAUGGGCACAGAAUCAUCAGCAAGUGAAUACCAAUAAAUUCAUGGCCAAAACCAGCCCCAAAGACCAACAAGUUUAAGGUCUUGCUUGGCUGGUGGCCUUCAGGGAAUGAACCUUAUCUUGGGUUGCCUCUGAAAAUGUUGCAAGAAUUGGCCUGUGGGCUGUCAUUCACUGAACCCCGCUCUAGUGCUUACCUCAUCUGCCAACAACACCGGCUGUUCUUCCUCUGUCCUGACUUUGUGUCCCAGAGAGUUAACUUGAGAAACACAAUCUCCAAAAACUCCUUUUGCUGAGGACUAUAGUUAUAGACAGUCACCCUCUGGUUGCAAGCCCAAGACAGGAGGCCCAGAAGCAACACAUCUGGCCAAACGGUAUCAACUUGCAUGAGUCAUCUCAGUCCAAAUCAACCUCUCCACCAGACUGGAGGUCCACUCCUUGCAGGAUUCUCAUUGUAACCCAGCUUCUUCUGCAUAUUUUACAGAAGGGUGCAACUCUGCCAAGAAUAGUCUGGAAUUACAGUGACCAGGUUGGGGAACUUUCAACAUGACCAAAAUGGCCCACCUUAAUGGAGCCUAGGACUGGGGAUCGACACACUUUUUCUGUAAAGGGCCCGAUAGUCAAUGUUUUAGGUUCCUGUGAGUCUCACAGUCCCUGUUGCAACCCUUCUACUGUGCCACUGGGGUGCAAAAGCAGUGAUAGACAGUACAUAAACAAAUGGGCAUGACUGUGUUCCAGCAAAAACUUAUUUACAAAAAAAGGCCCAUGGGCCAGAAUUGGCCUGUGGGCUGUCGUUUACUGAACCUUGCUCUAGUACUUACCUCACCUGCCAACAACACCAUCUUGGCAAAGCAGUAAAGAUGGGGCAUGGGUGGACGUCAAGACCUCAAGGCCCAUUUGAAAACCCCCAAAUGAAUUUUAUACAAUUAUUCCCUGUGAUGGAAUAUGAAUAUAUUUGGCUGUUUUUGUUUGUUGUUGGCUUUUUUCUUUUUUUUGUGCAUGUUUUCCCCCCAGAUUUGUUGAAGCCUUUCCUUGCUGAAGAGCAUCAAAACAAGGCAUUCAAUUUUGUAUUUCUCACUAGAGGAGUCCCGAUCUAACUGCUGUAAUGAUGAGUAUCCUUAUUUUCCUGAGAAGAUCAUUAGGAUCUCUGCAAAAUAUUGGUGCUUACUCAAAAUUUCCUCUGUCCAUACUCCCUCCACCCCCAAUCUUCAGACAGAGUAGAAAGGAUGGGUAGAUUUUUCAAAUUAAAGUUAGUUUAGCUUUCAGAAACACUUCAAUUUCCCUGGUUGAAAAUCCUUCCUUGGCCUUAUUGACAAUAAGAUCAACUCCUUUGAGAGUAUAUCAGUUCUCUACUUGUUAAGGUAACAAGCCUACCCAAGCACCUAGGACUUUAUCUCUAAUCCUAGACUCUUCCCUGUUAAAAGCAGUAAUAAGCAAAUACUAUAAUGGAUCCAUACAUCUACUAGUUUGUUUUUUGUUUUUAAAGUAGUCUUCAUGUCCAGCGUGAAGUCCAACGCAGGGUCUGAACCCAUGACCCUGAGAUCAAGACCUGAGCCAAGAUCAAGAGCUGGAUACUUAACUGACUGAGCCACCCAGGUGCCCCCAAUCUGCUAGUUUUAUGAUUAACAUACUCCUAAUCCAUCCUUGAACAACCUACGACUUGGUUUUCUAGAAAAAGUCAUCAUAGAAAGGCAACCCUUGGACCAUAAUGGAAAAAGACUUUUUUGGUAUUUCUGACACCCAGUAAAGCAGUAAAACUUCAGGGGGUUGAAUUUUGGAUCUGUGCUUCUCAAUUAAAGAAACACAAACCCUCCCUGGCAACUGGAAGGCCAUCCCAAACAGAAAUUUCCCAGUGAGGACCCUUAAGAAUCCUCCAGAAGCAGAAGAUCUUCAGGAGACUCUAGCCUGAGACCUUCAUAAGCAGAAGACAGCAUGGCAAAAACAGUUUAUUCUUCCAAAUCUUUAGAAUAAGGCCAUCUAGAUGUCUGAAGCCACAGACGAACAUGCUGUCCUUCAUCUAGCCCUCUGACUUUAAUUUUUGCCCCUUUCUUUCCACUUCUCAGUUUUGUAGUAAGGGUUUGCUGAUAGCAUAGCUGUUGCCCCGCAACAUUUCUCUUACUGAGAAAUGUCUUUGGACAUUGUCGUGUGAUUUUGUUGUUGUUCUUCCCAAAGGAGAUGUCAAGAGAUUAUCCAAGUCUAUUGUUAAGCACCUACACCUUCAAGACAGUCUGUCCUCCACUAGGGUGCUAUUUUUUUUUUUUAAUGUGGAAAUCAAGCCUUAACUUGUUCAAACUGUUUAGGUAUUUAAGAUCUCAACACCCUCUGCAAAACAUAUCUCACUGAAACAUGCCUCUAGGAACUUACAAAAUGAAACCACAUAGGCUAUUCUAGAAAAUUAGCUAGAGGAAAGAUUCUUUCACUUUUUAUGUGGAAUGUCUAAAUGGUGAUUUCUAUAAUGAGGGCUAUACCAUUGGAAAAGGAUGAGAGAAAUGUAUUAUUAAUCUUAGCUGAAGUUAUAAAUGAUCUUCCAAAGCUUUUGAGGUUUAUCAGACAAAUCUAAACUCUUUGGCCCAGUUGGAAAUUGACAAUCAGAUAGCUUUAGAUUUUCUGUUAGCUAGUCAGGGAGUUAUCUGUGCAGUUGCCAACAUUUUUGUGUUACACUUGGAUAAAUCUUUAUGAUCAGGUAUGUAUGACAAUCUAUUUUGAAGCUGAAGGAGAUGGCCACCUUUCUCUCUGAGGUAAACCCAAAUGGACUCUGGGACAUGAUUUUUUUUUUUUUUAAGUUUAUUUAUUUUGAGACAGAAAGACAGCAUGAGUUGGGGAGGGGCAGAGAGAAAGGGAGAGAGAAAGAAUCCCAAGCAGGCUUUGUGCUGUCAGUGCAGAGCUCCAUGCAGGGCUUGAACUCACAAAACUGUGAGAUCCUGACCUGAGCCAAAACCAAGAGUCAGACACUUAACUGACUGAGCCAUGCAGGGGUGCCUGAUUUUUAACUUGGGUUCAGUAGUGUGGAGUGUUACCAAGUCUAAACACCACCAUGGGUUUUGUCUUCAAGUGCAUAGUGGUUGCUAAGAAUAAGCUGUCCAGAGUCAGGAAUGUGGGUGUACAGGUGCUGUCACAUCACAUGAUCCAACAACUCACCGCUUGACAGAUGGAACAGGGAGGCCAGGUUAGUCCAACUCCAAACUGUUGUUUCUGAGAUGAUAAUUCAUCUAGAAUUCUGACAAUUAUGUAGAGGCUGCUUUUGUGGCCUCUGGUUUGGCCAGCGAAUGGGGAGGGCCCAUCCAUGAUGCAGUCACCAUCACAGAAUGUCUGUGACUUCCAUAGUGUUUUGUCAUUCAUGCAUCACCUCACCUAGAAAAUAACCAGUCCAAAGACUGUUUCUACUUCUGGUGUCUACCUUCUACCAGAACAAUAAAAACCAUGGGCUCAUUUCUCCUAAUAUGACAUCAUUUCAGGCUUCUCCGUGUGGUGUUCUCCCUUAUGGCAGGAGACGUUGCUUGCUCACUUCUCAGGGAGCAAGCUUUUCAUAGGAGCUAUGUUGGAUCUGUUUUAAUAUCCUACACAUAUGACCAAUAACUGGCCUAAAAUACUCUGAAAAAAAUCACAUUAUGUAUUCUUAGAACAGAAACACAUCAGAAUUAGCUUUGGAAAAGUUAUUUGAAUCCUGAUAGAGACCCAGCAUGCAUGCCCUUGUUAACUAGUUAAUUAAUCCACCUAGUUAUUCAACAACCAUUUUGGGUACUUGUGAUGUACAAGACCCCAUGCUAGGUGACCGGAGCGCCAGCAGGGAGCAGGACAGAUGUGAAGCCACCUUUGGGGAGCUCGAAGAGGUGUUUCUUGAAGGCAUGAGCAGUAUUUGGCUUCCUUCAUCAGUUCAGCCGGCUCUGCCCCACCCAUGGCCCAAGGUUGAGGGGGCCCUGCAGGAUUACCCAAGGCAGAAUAAUCUCCUUGCUAUAGAGCUGCUGCAGUGAGUUUGGGUGCCCAGAAUCCCUUUGAUGUUGUACAAGUAAAGAGCUGGAAGGGACUUUGGGACAUGGUUCUCCAACCUUAUAUUAUGUAAAUUAUACGAAGUAUAUUUACUACAUAAAUUAGUAAACUGAGGCCCAGAGAUACUGAGAAACUUGUCCAGGACCACAGUGCGCGCGUGUGUGAUUGUAUUUAAAAAGAGGACAUAAACAUCAUAUAUUUUAAAUAAAAUGAGUCAGAAUCAAGAUCAUUUAAAAAUGGGCUGAGAGAACCCCAUUUGGUUAUGAACUCUAAGAACUUAAUUUUAAAAAUAAAAGAUUGUUCUGGGGCGCUUGGGUGGCUCAACUGUUUAAGUGCCUGACUCUUGGUUUCAGAUCAGGUCAUGAUCUCGAGGUGCGUGGGUUUGAGCCUCACAAAGGGUUCAACACUGACAGCCAGAGCUUGCUUGGGAUUCUCUCUCUCUCUCCUUCUCUGUCUGCCCCUCCCUUGCUCAUGUUCUCUCUCUCUCUCUCUCUCAAAAUAAAUAAAUGUAAAAAUAAAUAAAAAUAAAAGAUUGUCCUGUUUGAACAUUGAAGCAUCAGUGUUUCCUCUGUUUUGGAACAUUAGGAUUUUUAAGACUUGGAUUUAAAAAUAUUGCAUAGAUUGCUAAAAAAUUACUCAUCCACUCUUUACAAAAACAGUCCUGUCACUGCAGUAUCAGUAGGAAUGGUACCUUACAGCCCAAAUCUGGUUUCUGGGGUAGGGAGAGUAAGACCCUUUUGAGAGGCAGCAGGCCCAUUUCCCUGCGAAGACAGGCUGUUCUGAGCCAGAGUCACUCAGAGAGCCAGACCCCUCGGCCCACCUCUUCUGUGUGGAGUUGGGCUCUGUCCUCCCAGACGUGCUGACCUCGGAGUGACCCUUCCAAAUCCACAUAAUCCUGUAAAGGUCAACCUGCAAACCCAUCACCAGCAGCUCCAUCACAGCCUGAAAACGUCCUGGGCUGGGAUGAGGGGGAGCUGGGGCCCUUUGAAACUGUCCCCACUCCUUGCCAGUAGAGAUGGUCUUUUAGGUCCGGUGUGAGGGUCCAGCAGAGAUGCUCCAGACCGAGGAGUCAGGAGGAUCUCCUUUCCUUCCCAAGCAGGAUCGUUGCAGGAAGAGGGAGUUCAUUUAGAACCAGCCUGGACUGAGAUUUGCUUUGUUUUCUUCUGGGGUCUAUUCUGCUUCGCAAAGGCACUCCAGGGGUUGCUGAGCACAGUGCACGGGUAAUGCAUAGGGAAUGGCAGCAUGCGAGGGGGAUAAACCCUAGGGAAUCUGAAGCUGGUUCCCAGACAGGAGAGUUGACUGGAGGGGGAUCAACAGAGACAAACUUAAUCCCUGUCCUCAGAGAGACCUGCCCACUGGGCUUUAGCAAAAGCCUCUGUGCUUUUUUUUUUUUUUUUUUGUUCCUGGAGAAUUUAGACAAAAUAGCCCUGAGCCCCAUGAGGCAGGGGAGCAAAGGCCCUCCCUGAGCUGGAUUGGGGCCUUCAUGGGUCUGACAAGGUCUGUGUCUGGAGGGACUGAGUGGGGCUGGCAAUUGGGAACAGAACCUAGUGUGGCAGGGAGACUUCAGUACCUUCAGAGCCGGGGAGACUCUUAGAGAUCAUCUAAUUCAAUCCCUUUCUUUUGGGGGAUGGACAGUGAGUAACAGAAAGGAGCAAGACCUGCCCAUGUUACACAGCACCUGCUGCAUUUCAAAUGCAGAAUUCCUGAUUCCCGGUCUGACCCUCUUCCCAGAUCCUCAGCCUGAGUGGGAGUUUAGGGUUUGUUCAUUCAUUUGUUCAUUCAUUCAUUCAUUCAUUCAUUCAUUCAGCUUUGUGCCUUGCCCUGUGUAAGAUCCAUCGAAGAGUCAGAAGAAACUCACCAUAUUAUCUUUGCACCCCAGGAACUUGAACUGUAAACACACAUGCACAUACACAUAUGUGCACACAUGUGCACAUGCAUGCACAUGCAAACGCAAGAACAAUUAAGUGGUGAUAGAGAGCAGUAUGUAGUCUCUUCUAUAAUGAACCAUCUGGACAGAGUUAUAGGAGAUCAAAGCAUGAGGAAUCGGUGUGUGCAGAGGUGAGGCCACUCUAAUUCUUACUUUUUUAAAUGUUUAUUUAUUUUGAGAGAGAAUGAGUGGAGGAGGGGCAGAGAGAGGGAGAGAGAGAGAAUCCAUGCUGUCAGCACAUAGCCUGAUGUGGGGCUCGAUCCCAUGGCCCAGAGAUCAUGAGCUGAAAUCAAGAGUUGGAUGCUUAACCUACUGAGCCACUCAGGCACCCCGAGGUCACUCUAAUUCUUUUAUUUUUUAUUUAUUUUAUUUAUGUUUUUUAACAUUUAUUCAGUUUUGAAAGAGUGCACGUGGGGCAGGGGCAGAGAGAGGGAGACACAGAAUCCGAAGCAGGCUCCAGGCUCUGAGCUGUCAGCACAGAGCCCAACGCGGGGCUCGAACUCAUGAGCUGUGAGAUCAUGACCUGAGCCGAAGUCGGCUGAGCCACCCAGGCACCCCAGACCACUCUAAUUCUUAAAGAGCACUUGUUACCCUGUACCUCAGUGACUGACUGCCCAUGUUGCCCUGGCUUGCAUAGUGCCACAGUUGCUCGGAUGGAAUUGAACUGAUUUGAAUUGAAUUGAAAAUGGGUCUUGUUUUGGGCAGAACUGGUUCCCUUGUAAGUAUGGGAUGAAGGCAAUGGAGGCUGGAUGGAAGAAACUCAGGGGCCCUCUCUGCCUGGUGUCCUGGAAUUCAGGCUCUGCCUGGAAGGCGUAGGACUUCCUCCAUGCCCUCCACACACUGGUGAGCUUCUGGAGGCCCCACGGGAUUCAACACCAUCAAUCUCUGGACUGCCCCCAUGAUGGUGGGGUGUCCAGCGAUGGGCUGCUCCAGAGCAGAGCAGUGGAAGCAACAGGAAGAUACUUCCCAGCCACCUACAAGGUUCCCAUGUCAAAAGAAGAAGGAGCAUCCUUCGUCCCUCUCCUGCCAAAUACUUACUGAGCGCCAGAUCUAGCACAGAGCCAUGAAUGGACAAGGCACAGUUCUUUCCCAGUUGAAAAGACAAAGAAAUAGUAUCUGGUGGAGAAAGAACAAGUUAGAGAUAAAUCAUGAAAUGAGCUUUGGCUCAGGACACGGGCUGUGCUGAAGGUCAGUCACAGGUGGACUUUUUGGCCCCAAUAGGCUCAUCUGUCCAGACCGGCCAUGGAGGAGCCACCCGUGGUGCUGCCAUCUCUUUAAACAUUUUGGGACUCAUCUUGGAGACUUGCCUUUUGAGGCUCAGCACAUUCUCUGGGUUAGCUUCAGGGGGCAAAACUGGACUUUUUGUGGAUGAGUAGGAGUUUUGGAAAGAACCAAAAGUCAUUCGUAGCAUAAUGUAGAGAGAAGUUGAACCCCCGUGUUGCACACCUGAAACUAAUGUCAACUAUAACUAUUAUGUGUCAAUGCAAAUAAAACAAAUUAAAAAAAAAAAGCCAUUCUAGCCAAAUGCAGGCCAUUCGAUUCAGUUUCGUUCAAUUCAACAAAUGUUUAUUGAGUGUCUACAGUCCGCAAGGCUCUGUACUAGGCUCUGGGAAUUAGACAAAUCCCAACUCUGCCAUCUUAGAACUGACAGCUUUGCAGGCAAGAUAGACACUAAAUUUAAAGACAAGUAAUGACUUGGGUAGCGAGUGCAUCAAAAACAUGGGGGAGGGGGAAGAGUAGCAUCCUGGGCUGAAGGAACAGCAUAAAAGAUAGUAAUAUUAGCCACCUAUUGGGCACCAACUAUGCAUCAGACACUAUUCAAAGUAGUUUUUAUAGAUUAUCUCAUUUAAUCCCUCCCACAAAGGUAUGUGGUAGGUGCCAUUAUUAUGCCCAAAUUAUAGAUGGGAAAACAGGCACAGCCAGAAUAAGUAGAUUUCCCAAUUAGUAAAUAGAAAAAUGGGGUUUCAAACCCAGGCAUUCUGGCUCCAGAGCCUACACUCUGAACCGCUAAGUGAGAGAGCUUGUGUGUGCUUAAAUGCGCUGGCAUCGUUUGAAUAAAAAUAACUUCUCAAGAGUAUGGGAAGGGAGACCUUUGGAAGCGUAAAUGGGCAUAAUCUCAGCAAAAUGAUGUGGCAACGUGUGUGUAAAGAGAAAUUGUGGUUUAUAUAUACAAUGGAAUACUACUUGGCAAUGAGAAAGAAUGAAAUAUGGCCUUUUGUAGCAGCGUGGAUGGAACUGGAGAGUGUUGUGCUAAGUGAAGUAAGUCAUACAGAGAAAGAUACCAUAUGUUUUCAGUCACAUGUGGAUCUUGAGAAACUUAACAGAAGACCAUGGGGGAGUGGAAGGAAAAAAAAAAAGUUAGAGAGAGAGAGCCAAACUAUAAGAGACUCUUAAAAACUGAGAAUAAACUGAGGGUUGAUGAGGGAUGGGAGGGCAGGGAGGGUAAUGGACAUUGAGGAGGGAACCUGUAGGGAUGAGCACUGGGUGUUGUAUGGAAACCAAUCUGACAAUAAUUUUCAUAUUUAAAAAAAAAGUGUUAAGGGUGUGUCUCCACAUUUUGUCUUCUAGAAACUUAUUCAAAGGAAAUAAUCAGGACUGUGCAUAAAGGUGCACCAAGGGGAAAUGACCAAAAUGUUCUUCAAUAGGGAUCAGUUAAAUAAAGUAUAGCACAGUUAUGCAACAAAAUAUUACGCAGCCUUUGAAAAUUAAAAAUUGUGUUUGUUCCUCUUGUUUUGUGUCUUCAGGGUGCUUUGAGGAAGUAGGAGAAGUCUGCCAAAAGAAAGACGGGGUGGGCCCUUCUGUUCAGAUAGCAAGGAGCCGUAGUUGGGACCACUGGGUAGUUCUGGAGGAGGCAGGGAGGCCAGGCUGAGGUGAGGCUUGCAGGGGGGAAGUGAGACUUGGCUCCAAGUAAUCAUGACCUAGGGGAGGGGGUGUGGCCAGCCAGCGGCCUGCCUGGGCCCUGGCACUGGCUCCAGGCUCUGGGUUUAAAGAGCUUUAAAAGCUUAUUAAAAAGGUUCCUUAGACAUCAAAUGGCUCUUAAAAAUCAAUAUUUUGGUGAUUUAAGUGCAAGGGAAUCAGAAACAUAUGGAUUAAAUUGCCCUCAAAUUAUACACACUUAAAAAAAAAAUAUGUUGGUCUUUAGCAAGCCCCAAAUAUUUGAAAAACAGAUAGAGAUGUUUUCCUCAUCUUCAGACAGAGCUCUGCUAGGUCAGCUUGAAGAGUCCAAAGAGGAGGUAAGUGGGAAUGGGGCAGGGCUCAGAGGCGGACGUAAGGAAACUUCUGUGGCUGGAAUCUUCCUGUAGAAAGGGCUGCGGGGGGCGGGGGGUGCAACUGUGUGCGUGUGCCUGUGUGUGUGUGUGUGUGUGUGUACGUGUGCGUGCACGCACGUGCACAUAGGCAUGUAAGGGUGAACGCAGGUGCACAUUCUCCUCUGGGUCUGCCGGGACCCUUCUGAGCCCCCUUCCCACAGCCAGCCUCGUCCCUCUGUGCCCUGGGCACAUGCAUUAGUGUAUCCAGUACUCAAGGUUUGAGGAGUGUGUGUCCCUUUGGUUUGUCCUUCCUUGGCCUGUCCUUUCUCCCCAGCAGCCAGGGCCCUCCUGCAUCAGAUACAGUGCUGCCUAUCCCUGGAAAGUUUGAGCUGGGAAGGACACAGGCAUCACUUAGCCCAGAAGUGAUCAAACUUUUCUCAGCUGUGGGCUUGGUCUGCACGUGAAAUGUUAGUAAUGAAGCCCAGCGUACCUGGUAAGACCAGAGCUACCAUGGCCCUGAUUCUCCCCCACAGAAUGCCUGGAGCUCUGAGAGCAGAGUUUGAAAACCACACACCUCAUCCCAAACUCUCAUUUUACAGAGAUGGAAACUGGGGCCCAAAGCAGUAGGGCCAGCGCCCCAGCAGGACCAGAAGAGAAGCUGUCACACACAUCAGUUCAGCCUAUCCCAAUCCAAACCAAUAAACAUUUACCGCACCUACCCCUUCUCCAGUCCUGCCCAGGUCCUGCUUGUGGUGGUGGGUGGCAGAGCCCUUGGGGCCUCAACUUCUCAGAUGGCUCUGGCUGUGCAGGGCCCCCACUGUGCUCAGUCCCACCUCUGGGAGAAGGCAGUUGGGUUGGGAGUGGGAAGCUCCCACACUUGAACUCUGCGGACGGAGCCUUGAGAAGGAGAUGGGCCACACCUGGAGGCCUGGGCUGAGGACAGUGUGGCUCCCAAGGGACAGCAUGGGGGCCAGCUGGUUCCCCACCUCUAGCUCCUCCAGCCUCUGUUUAGCAUUAAGCCCUUCAGGUGCUGCCCCUCUAGCCCCUCCCCCUCAACAUUGUCUGUGGCAGAGUCUGGGUUUGCCACCUGUAGGGCAGGGUGGAGAGAUCAGGGCCUUGGAAGGGAUGGUUGUGACUCAGAAGGCCCCUGGUGGUGUCCCUUGGGCACCCCACCUCCCUGACUAGACCCAAUUCUGGGCUGGGUGUUGACCCCCCCCCCCCCCAUGCCUCCA